AUUGAACGCUGGCGGCAUGCUUUACACAUGCAAGUCGAACGGCAGCACGGGCUUCGUCCUGGUGGCGCGUGGCGCACGGGGGAGUAAUAUAUCGGAAUAUACCCCGCAGGGGGGGGUAACGUCGCGAAAGUUAUGCUAAUACCGCCUACUAGCUACUGCUGCUAGCUGGGGACCGCAAGGCCUUGUGCUCCUGGAGCGACCGACACCGGUUUAGCUAGCUGGUGGGGUAAAGGGUCACCAAGGCGACGAUCAGUAGCUGGACGGAGAGGACGAGCGGCCACACGAGAACUGGGACAGGGUCCAGACUCCUGCGGGAGGCAGCAGUGGGGAAUGUUGGACAAUGGGCGGAAGCCUGAUCCAGCAAUGCCGCGUGAGUGGAGGAGGCGUUCGGGUUGUAAAGAUGUUUUGUCAGGGAAGAAACGGUAGAGGCUAAUAUCCUGUGCUAAUGACGGUACCUGAAGAAUAAGCACCGGCUAACUACGUG
rnacentral:rRNA from 1 species